rnacentral:rRNA from 1 species
UGCAGUCGAACGCUUCUUUCCUCCCGAGUGCUUGCACUCAAUUGGAAAGAGGAGUGGCGGACGGGUGAGUAACACGUGGGUAACCUACCCAUCAGAGGGGGAUAACACUUGGAAACAGGUGCUAAUACCGCAUAACAGUUUAUGCCGCAUGGCAUAAGAGUGAAAGGCGCUUUCGGGUGUCGCUGAUGGAUGGACCCGCGGUGCAUUAGCUAGUUGGUGAGGUAACGGCUCACCAAGGCYACGAUGCAUAGCCGACCUGAGAGGGUGAUCGGCCACACUGGGACUGAGACACGGCCCAGACUCCUACGGGAGGCAGCAGUAGGGAAUCUUCGGCAAUGGACGAAAGUCUGACCGAGCAACGCCGCGUGAGUGAAGAAGGUUUUCGGAUCGUAAAACUCUGUUGUUAGAGAAGAACAAGGACGUUAGUAACUGAACGUCCCCUGACGGUAUCUAACCAGAAAGCCACGGCUAACUACGUGCCAGCAGCCGCGGUAAUACGUAGGUGGCAAGCGUUGUCCGGAUUUAUUGGGCGUAAAGCGAGCGCAGGCGGUUUCUUAAGUCUGAUGUGAAAGCCCCCGGCUCAACCGGGGAGGGUCAUUGGAAACUGGGAGACUUGAGUGCAGAAGAGGAGAGUGGAAUUCCAUGUGUAGCGGUGAAAUGCGUAGAUAUAUGGAGGAACACCAGUGGCGAAGGCGGCUCUCUGGUCUGUAACUGACGCUGANGCUCGAAAGCGU